CUCGUGCAAAGCAGCUGUCCUGCAUGCCACCCUGCUCAGCCCUGGCUGGUUUUUCUUGGACAGACGCUGCCUGUGCUGACAAAUAAAAGCGAUACUCAACCCUCUGCUCAUCCCAGCUGCGCUUUUCAUAUCUGCAGAUACAAAGAGUGAUUUUGCCUUGCAAUCCCACAGAACUCCACCACCCAUCUAAGAUGGUUGCUGAGGCACAGAGUUCUUCCAGUCACUAUGCUGCAGAGCAGACCGUGUUUCCAGAACUCUGCCAAGACUUCUCCUGAACUGACCUACCUCUACUUCUGAGCAAGACCUCCACCUACCAUAAAAACACAUCAGACAGCAAGAGACCUUAGGAGCAUCCACUGAAGUUAACAUAGAGAAAUAAUCACCUGAAUGGAAGUAACAGGCUUGGAUAAUUUCUGAUGCUGCUUUACUUCUACGCUUGUCUGAGAAAUCUUGACAAUGCAAUCCACCUCUGAAAAAGCUGGAAAUCACCCAGAAAAUGUCUAUACUGCUCAUCAACCCUCUGAUUCACGCUUUUCUGUUGAGUUAAACUGAUGUACUGAGUGAAUUUGUAUUACCUCUCUAGCCAGGUUUCCUGCUAAAGCCUUCCAAAUAAGUUUUGCAUUAUUAAACUCUUAAGGUCUGGUCCUGCAACUGAAAGGCAGUGGCAGAAGGCAUCCCAAAGGGAUCAGCCAUGCUAAGUUUAAGUAGCAUUUUCCAUGUGCUCUUUGCUACAGUUUUUUACGGAUAGAAAGAUUUAAGAAUUCCACCUUUGAGCAAAUAAAGCUGAAGUACCAAGUGUAAAGUUUUAUCUUUAUGAAAUACGCAGUAAGAGUCUUCCAAUAAUUAAGCAGUUUGGCUGGCAGAAUUACAUAUACUGAGAAGUAUGUCUUAAAGAAGAACCACUAAAUGGAAUCAGAUGCUGUAAACUGAAAAGUGCCGUUCAUGAGGUAUUACAGCUCCAUGCAUGCAUUUCUACUCCAAGAAGAAACAGCUCAGUGGCUAGGCUGAAAAAUACGAGACACUACUGGCCUACUGUAAUCUGGCUUGUUUAUCAAGAACAUUAAUAUUCUUGACUGGUCUGUAAGGAUUGGGGUAAGCCUGUACCUAGAUGGAACAUCAAUUGUUAAAAUGAGCCAGAGUUUCUAGGUUUUGUAAAAUGGGCAACUCAUUUCCUGGAAUGCAUCAUUGUAACAUAGGAAACAACGUUCUGUCACCAAUUUUCUACAGUGUCAGACAAUGAGACGGGUUACUUUGGUGGAA